rnacentral:rRNA from 1 species
GGGCCUCUUGCCAUCAGAUGUGCCCAGAUGGGAUUAGCUAGUUGGUGAGGUAACGGCUCACCAAGGCGACGAUCCCUAGCUGGUCUGAGAGGAUGACCAGCCACACUGGAACUGAGACACGGUCCAGACUCCUACGGGAGGCAGCAGUGGGGAAUAUUGCACAAUGGGCGCAAGCCUGAUGCAGCCAUGCCGCGUGUAUGAAGAAGGCCUUCGGGUUGUAAAGUACUUUCAGCGGGGAGGAAGGUGUUGUGGUUAAUAACCGCAGCAAUUGACGUUACCCGCAGAAGAAGCACCGGCUAACUCCGUGCCAGCAGCCGCGGUAAUACGGAGGGUGCAAGCGUUAAUCGGAAUUACUGGGCGUAAAGCGCACGCAGGCGGUCUGUCAAGUCGGAUGUGAAAUCCCCGGGCUCAACCUGGGAACUGCAUUCGAAACUGGCAGGCUUGAGUC